ACCUCGGUAGCGCAGUAGGCAGCGCUUCAGUCUCAUAAUCUGAAGGUCGUGAGGAGUUCGAUCCUCACCCGUGGCA